GUUUGGUCCCUAGGGUGAAAAGAUCCCGGGUAAAUAUUGCCAAUAAUGGCGUCAGGCUGUCCAAAUUGGGGGUAAGGGUCGAUUAAACAUUUUGUUGGCCUCUGUCCACAUAUCUUAGUAUAAAUACAGAUUCUGGCAUGUAGUAGACACCCUAAGCAUUAGUUUGAGCUAGAAUAUACUCCAAUGGAAUGCCUGGGCGGUGCUGGGGGAAGAUUUUCACUCUUAUGGGUAGUUGCCUUUAUUUUGGUUUUCUAGGCUUUUAUGAUGCUUUAUCGUGAUUUCCGCUUAAUGAAGCACCGAUUUAUAUUGAAAAACACAUGUUAAGGUUAGCCAAGGCCUUUGCAAUGAAAACAACACCUUGUAUAGACCAAUAAUAUGCUCAGUUUGGUCCCUAGGGUGAAACGAUCCGCGGUAAGUAUGGUCAAUAUUGGCGUCUUAAUAUUAAAAUUGGUUGGUAGGGUUCGAUUAAAUAUUUUUGUUGGCUUACAUUGACAUACACUACAAACUGCUCAGAGUCUGAAUUGACCAGUUUUUGUGCUCGACCAGUAAAAUCGAGAACACAUUUUACUUGACUAGUCUCGACAUUGUCUCGACUGUACUUAACUGUACUUAAGUGUACUCGACUAGGUCUCGACUUUACUUAAUUAGUCUGAUUCAGUACUUGAUGAUCUUUGUGUAGUCUGAAAUGGUCUUGACCAAGGCUCGACCUGUCUCGACCUGUCUUGACUAG
rnacentral:lncRNA from 1 species